rnacentral:rRNA from 1 species
AUACGUAGGGGACGAGCGUUGUCCGGAAUUACUGGGCGUAAAGGGCGCGCAGGCGGAUAUUUAAGUCAGCUGUAAAAGGCAUGAGCUCAACUCAUGUAUGCGGUUGAAACUGGGUAUCUAGAGUGCUGGAGAGGUAGGCGGAAUUCCCGGUGUAGCGGUGAAAUGCGUAGAUAUCGGGAAGAACACCAGUGGCGAAGGCGGCGUACUGGCUAGCAACUGACGCUGAGGCGCGAAAGCCAGGGGAGCGAACGGGAUGAGAUACUGCGGUAGUCCAGGCCGUAAACGAUGAAUGCUAGGUGUGGGUGUCGAGAGGCAUCCGUGCCGGAGUUAACGCGAUAAGCAUUCCGCCUGGGGAGUACGAUCGCAAGAUUGAAACUUAAAGGAAUUGACGGGG